rnacentral:rRNA from 1 species
AACGAACGCUGGCGGCAGGCCUAACACAUGCAAGUCGAGCGAGCAUUUCGGUGCUAGCGGCGGACGGGUGAGUAACGCGUGGGAACGGGCCCUUUUCUGCGGAAUAGUCCUGGGAAACGGGGGGUAAUACCGCAUACGCCCUUUUGGGGAAAGAUUUAUCGGAGAAGGAUCGGCCCGCGUUGGAUUAGGUAGUUGGUUGGGUAAUGGCCCACCAAGCCGACGAUCCAUAGCUGGUUUGAGAGGAUGAUCAGCCACACUGGGACUGAGACACGGCCCAGACUCCUACGGGAGGCAGCAGUGGGGAAUCUUAGACAAUGGGGGCAACCCUGAUCUAGCCAUGCCGCGUGAGUGAUGAAGGCCUUAGGGUUGUAAAGCUCUUUCAGCUGGGAAGAUAAUGACGGUACCAGCAGAAGAAGCCCCGGCUAACUCCGUG